GCCGGGCAUAGUGGUGUGUGCCUGUAAUCCCAGCUACUUGGGAGGCUGAGGCAGGAGAAUCGCUUGAACCCGGGAGGUGGAGCUUGCAGUGAGCCGAGAUCGUGCCCCUGCACUCCAGCCUUGGUGACAAAGCGAGACUCUGUCUCAA
rnacentral:SRP_RNA from 1 species